GAGACAGAGAACCUGGGGAACCUAUAAUGGCCUGAAGAUAAGAGUGAGGCUGGUCCCAGAUGACAGCAUGUCAGCCAGAAACCCACACCAGCAAGCAGUGCUAAUGAACACCUGUCAGACGUCUGGGGAGGCAGAAUGGAGGAGUUUCAGAUGGAGAGCACGUUUCCAGAGAUUCUUUGCAAAGCCCGAUUCUGGGAGUAAGAUUGAGACACAC